rnacentral:rRNA from 1 species
ACCCGCUGAAUUUAAGCAUAUCAAUAAGCGGAGGAAAAGAAACCAACAGGGAUUGCCUCAGUAACGGCGAGUGAAGCGGCAACAGCUCAAAUUUGAAAUCGGCCCCCAGGUCGAGUUGUAAUUUGUAGAUUGUAUCUUGAGAGCGGAUUAAAGUCUGUUGGAACACAGCGCCUUAGAGGGUGACAGCCCCGUAAAAUCUAUUCUCAUUGUAAGAUACUUUCGAAGAGUCGAGUUGUUUGGGAAUGCAGCUCUAAGUGGGAGGUAAAUUCCUUCUAAAGCUAAAUAUUGACGAGAGACCGAUAGCGAACAAGUACUGUGAAGGAAAGAUGAAAAGCACUUUGAAAAGAGAGUGAAAAAGUACGUGAAAAUGUUAAAAGGGAAGGGUAUUGAAUCAGACUUGGUGCUGUUGUUCAACUGUGUUUUGGCACAGUGUACUCAGCAGUACUAGGCCAAGGUGGGGUGUUUGGGAGUGAAAAAGAAGUUGGAACGUAACUCUUCGGAGUGUUAUAGCCUACUUUCAUAGCUCCUCAGGCGCCUCAGGACUGCGCUUCGGCAAGGACCUUGGCAUAAUGAUUCUAUACCGCCCGUCUUGAAACACGGACCAAGGAG